GCGUCAUUAGCUCAGUUGGUUAGAGCAGCUGACUCUUAAUCAGCGGGUCCGGGGUUCGAGUCCCUGAUGACGCACCG
rnacentral:tRNA from 1 species